rnacentral:rRNA from 1 species
AUUGAACGCUGGCGGCAUGCUUUACACAUGCAAGUCGAACGGUAACAGGCCUUCGGGUGCUGACGAGUGGCGAACGGGUGAGUAAUGCAUCGGAACGUACCCAGAGGUGGGGGAUAACGCAGCGAAAGCUGUGCUAAUACCGCAUGUGAUCUGAGGAUGAAAGCGGGGGACCGAGCAGCAAUGUUUGGCCUCGCGCCUUUGGAGCGGCCGAUGUCGGAUUAGCUAGUUGGUGGGGUAAAGGCCUACCAAGGCGACGAUCCGUAGCUGGUCUGAGAGGACGACUAGCCACACUGGAACUGAGACACGGCCCAGACUCCUACGGGAGGCAGCAGUGGGGAAUUUUGGACAAUGGGCGCAAGCCUGAUCCAGCAAUGCCGCGUGCGGGAAGAAGGCCUUCGGGUUGUAAACCGCUUUUGGCAGGAACGAAACGGUGUCCGCUAAUACCGGGCGCUAAUGACGGUACCUGCAGAGUAAGCACCGGCUAACUACGUG